CAACGUUCUUAGGAAUGUUAUCUGUGGCUGGGGAUCAAUGCAUCAUGUUAGGAUAAGUUUCGGUAACCGAUAAGAUCUUGUAAAAAAAAAAAAAAAUUAUUUAACUGCCAAAAAACUCGAUCUCUCCAUACAAACGAAUCGUUCGCCACGCGCCAACCAAAUUUCCUCGUUCCAUUUAAGCCCGUACAUCUCCCGCCACAACAGAGCCCUUGAGGAGCACGUUUUCUCGUUUCAUUCGAUCGCAUAGAGCGUUCGAUUCAUUGGCUCCGUGGCGCGCCGUUGAUUCGUGUGAACUCUGAGAUGGCGUUGUUUGUUCGCAGGCAUGAUUCUCCGAGUUGCUUGGUUUCUUUCGUUAGUUCGAUGAUCGCAUCAAGAAUUGUUGACGACUGCAUUGAGUAGAGCCCAUAGGGAGCAAAGGAAAAGUCAGCUGAGCCAUAUGUCAAGAAAUCAACAGCAGCAAUUUUGGGUCGAUUAGAGAAUGAAGUUUCAUGAGUUUUGAGGAACUCUUUGGCCAUUUCUGGGGAGGAAGCAACAACACAGGGGACAGAUCCGAGGAAGAGAUGAAUUAAUGGUCCAUAGCGGUGUGAGAGCUUGUGAAAAGCUUGGUGAGGUAUAGGAGCAAGGAGAUGGAGGUGACCAAUGAUUGGCAGGGCUAGUGGGCUUGGUGGAAGAUGAACGGUUGUUCGCCAUUUGGUGAAGAUGGCUCGAAUCAGGAUGGUGGAGACUAACCAAAUUAGGAAGAGAGUGAUGUAACCUUGGAAGUCAGCCAUGAAUGAGGGACAGCAACGGUGAGACCAAGAUGUUGGUUUCAUGGAGUUGCUUAUAUAAGAUGAAAUAAUACUUAAGAAUUGGAGGUGGGCAAUUGCUAUGGUGUUUAGAAUUUUUGAAAAUCAAGUUUCACCAAAUCUUUGAGAAAUUACUCAAUCCAUGGACCUGUACAGUUACAGUCUCAUUUUUGUUUUUUUUUUGGAACAUUAUACUCUGCAUUAUUCUCUUUACAUGAAAGCCGGCGAAGAUGGAAACAGACAAAAAAAGGAAAGAGGUGGGGUGGGGAAUGGAUGUUAUUAGCCUUCAAUUUGGUCAUUGGUAGGUUUUGAAAACGAACAAACCUUCAUUAAAUUAUGAGUUGCUUCCAGAAUAUAUACGUCGUUCGACUCUUAUUAUAUUUGGGAGGAUAGAAACGUCUGGAUUUUAAGAAGUCUGAAUGCUUUGCCGGCAGUGGUGGGGGCUAGGUUGAAAGAGCUUCAAUUAUAGUAUACACGUUGGCACUUGGAUCUUAUGAUUAAAUUUCUUGCUUGUCUCAAUCUCUUCUACACGGUUGAAAUCAGACACAGCCUUUGGUUUUUCUUGAGCCCAAACCAAUUAGAUUGCAGCAGGAUAUAGAUACAUGUUUCUUUAGUUUGGUCCGGUUGACUUAUUCUACGUGAGCAAGGAUCAUCAAAGCGCCCCUCUCAUACACGACAAUUUCAAAAUUCUUUCACUCACCCUCUUAUCUUGUUUUAGAAUAUUCUCGAUGUUGCCUGCAAUGUGCCUUCCAGAUGGUGCCACUGGUAGUAAGAUUGCAAAUUGAACUGGUCCGGUCUGAAAUUUCUGAGACCCAAACCAUAGGUAUAAUCUUUGAAGUUGGACUGGACAUAUGAAAACCUCUUCAAGAAGGGUUUAAGGCCAAGGAUUGAAAUCUCCGGAAGCGGAGGAAACGGCAAGAAAGGGAAAACAAAUUGAGUCAAUGGAUAAGGUAAGUAACUAAAAAAAGAGAAGUUAUUUGGACACAUGAGCCAACACAAGCAUCAAAUUGUAAAAAUGUCCUCUUUGAUUUUACUAAAGAACCCUCUUUUUACACUUUUGUCCUUUUUUAUUUGUUUCCUCCAAAACCAACAUCUUCCCUGUUAUUUUAUUUGUUAUUAUUCAUAGUCCAUUUAUCUCUCCAACUCACUUUUUAGUUUUUUUCACUACUUCCUAGAAAGUUGUACUAUAACUUCCAUCUUUUUCACCUCUAUGGCUUGUUUUAACUUA